AGCAGGGUGGGGGGAGCGGGGGGAGGAAAGAAAUUAGGAAUUCCGACCCAGACAAGUUUUCUGUACCUCAUUUACGGCUAGAACUCAAAACCUGGGCAGAGGACUUCGGGGCUCUGAGACCAGCCGGUGCAGUUGAUGAGAUAAUGGAGCAUGCAUAUGGACAAGAGAAGACACGAUAUGCAAGACCCCUGUUCCUAGCUGCCCCGUUCACAUAUAGCGUUCUCGGUGCCCCAUGAGCACAGAGCUCUGGCAGACCCACAAUGUGCUGGAGCUCAGCGAAAUAAAGCAAAGGCCCCAGGAAUUAUGGCUUUGAACCCCUCAAAAGAAUCCCAACAGCCCUAGUCUGAAAAAGAGUCCAGUCCUGCAGAUCUGUAGCUCAAACAACUUGACUGCAGGUUCACCAGGGGUGAUUGGUCUCUGGCAACCAGCACACGCCUACCAGACCCAAGAGACUGAGUACACAAACCGAAUGCCAAUUCACUAAGAACACAAGAAAACGCAACUAAUGAAUCAUCGAACUUUACACCAGAAACCAGGGAUGUACUGUAUGGUGACUAACAUAAUAUAAUAAAAAAACAUUAAAAACAGAAAAAACACAAGAAAAGCUGUGCUCAUUCGGACUAAAGAU